GACGAACGCUGGCGGCGUGCCUAAUACAUGCAAGUAGAACGCUGAAGAGAGGAGCUUACUCUUCUUGGAUGAGUUGCGAACGGGUGAGUAACGCGUAGGUAACCUGCCUUAUAGCGGGGGAUAACUAUUGGAAACGAUAGCUAAUACCGCAUAACAAUGGAUGACACAUGUCAUUUAUUUGAAAGGGGCAAUUGCUCCACUACAAGAUGGACCUGCGUUGUAUUAGCUAGUAGGUGAGGUAAUGGCUCACCUAGGCGACGAUACAUAGCCGACCUGAGAGGGUGAUCGGCCACACUGGGACUGAGACACGGCCCAGACUCCUACGGGAGGCAGCAGUAGGGAAUCUUCGGCAAUGGGGGCAACCCUGACCGAGCAACGCCGCGUGAGUGAAGAAGGUUUUCGGAUCGUAAAGCUCUGUUGUAAGUCAAGAACGGGUGUGAGAGUGGAAAGUUCACACUGUGACGGUAGCUUACCAGAAAGGGACGGCUAACUACGUG
rnacentral:rRNA from 1 species